CCCACAGAAUCAGACCAUGACUACCUUC
rnacentral:piRNA from 1 species